rnacentral:rRNA from 1 species
AACGAACGCUGGCGGCAUGCCUAACACAUGCAAGUCGAACGAGACCUUCGGGUCUAGUGGCGCACGGGUGCGUAACGCGUGGGAAUCUGCCCUUGGGUUCGGAAUAACAGUUAGAAAUGACUGCUAAUACCGGAUAAUGUCUUCGGACCAAAGAUUUAUCGCCCAGGGAUGAGCCCGCGUAGGAUUAGCUAGUUGGUGAGGUAAAGGCUCACCAAGGCGACGAUCCUUAGCUGGUCUGAGAGGAUGAUCAGCCACACUGGGACUGAGACACGGCCCAGACUCCUACGGGAGGCAGCAGUGGGGAAUAUUGGACAGUGGGCGAAAGCCUGAUCCAGCAAUGCCGCGUGAGUGAUGAAGGCCUUAGGGUUGUAAAGCUCUUUUACCCGGGAUGAUAAUGACAGUACCGGGAGAAUAAGCCCCGGC